UGGGGAAUAUUGGACAAUGGGGGGAACCCUGAUCCAGCCAUGCCGCGUGUGUGAAGAAGGCCUUAUGGUUGUAAAGCACUUUAAGCGAGGAGGAGGGUACUGGUAUUAAUAUUACCAGGUACUGGACGUUACUCGCAGAAUAAGCACCGGCUAACUCUGUGCCAGCAGCCGCGGUAAUACAGAGGGUGCGAGCGUUAAUCGGAUUUACUGGGCGUAAAGCGUGCGUAGGCGGCUAAUUGAGUCGGAUGUGAAAUCCCCGAGCUUAACUUGGGAAUUGCAUUCGAUACUGGUUAGCUAGAGUGUGGGAGAGGAUGGUAGAAUUCCAGGUGUAGCGGUGAAAUGCGUAGAGAUCUGGAGGAAUACCGAUGGCGAAGGCAGCCAUCUGGCCUAACACUGACGCUGAGGUACGAAAGCAUGGGGAGCAAACAGG
rnacentral:rRNA from 1 species